AGCCAGCAGAACUCAAUCUUUUGCUCAGAUCAGCAUGGAGGCAUUGUGGUGCUAACUGUCUGUGAUCUUCCAUUGUUGCUAAAUGGCCCAAAGAACAAUUGCCUGCAUUCCUGCACUGCUGGGCCAUGUAACUGUAUCUGCAGGACAGAGGUGUGACUGCAUGUGCAUGUGUUUAAAUAUGUCAGCUUUGUUUACUCACUCAAUGCAUUUUCCUUUGCAGAGUUUGUCUGUGGGUGGCCCGCAUGUCACUGAAGGUGAUCAUCACAGGUGAAGUGAUGUGGCUCCUAAAGGAACCAUUUUGAUUUCAUUUAUUUUCCACCUUCUCAUCAGUUAAACCCCACAGAAGAAUUGAGAGGUUAUUUUGGGAGAAUGACAGUUUAACUGACAAAAACAAGGGAAAAAUGCUCAGAGGAACUUAAAAAUUGAAGUCAUAGUCCAUAAAAGCUGCUAAUCAUUCCAAUGUUUUCUGUUAUCAAGAAUAAGUUUAAUAAAAAAAAGUCUAAAAUCAAAAUGACAACAGUCUAAAAAGGUAAACCUCAACUUUUAGCUGUUUGAAAUUGCGAACGUAAGUAUAGUUGCUACAGCUCAACCGUUUGGGAUUUAUUACUUAACAUCAUUAAUUUGAAAUGUGCCAUUUAAUCCAGGACUUCUGCAGAAAUUUAGAAUCAACUUGAAAAGAAAAGAAAAGAAAAAGAAUAUCUUUAAAAACUGGAACGAAUUCCAAGCGUGAAAGGGUUAAAAAAAAAUUUCUGGGCAUGUAAAUAGUACAAUGACAAUAAAGCUUUUUUUUGAUUCUAGAAGAGUUUUGUUAUAAAGAGUUUUCUAAAUUUACAAAGCAGCAAAUAUAUUCUUAAUCCCGUGUCACUUUAUUUAUUAUCCACUUUUAACAUGAUUUCCAGUUUUAAGAAACGGAUCAACAUGCAGACGAAACACUUCACCAAUUUAUAUAUUGACAAAGAAAGGUAUAAAGAUCAUAGAAUAAACUAAUUAUUACAAGAUAACGAAUCCAAUACUCAUACAUUUAAAAGAAUUUAAACCUUAAUGAUCCUGUUAACUAUUAAACUAAUGUGCAAAGUUCACAGUAAGCUGCUUACGGCCUAAAACCAAACGUUAGAUGUGGUCAGCAUAAAACUUACAGUCACAUUUAUAAAAGCCGAGAGGAAAAACGUACACAAAAAACCGGAGCUUUAACUCCAGUCUUGACAUUUUUUCAACUACCGUAACUCUUCAACCGUUGAUGCAUUUAAUGUAAUUUCAGCAAAAUCUGAAGCGGGGAAAAGCGGCUUUGGGCUGAUAUGCAGCAUUUCUCUUUUUUCCGGUGUUGCAUGGUUGUGCAAAGUUUAUAGGAAGAACUACUUUUCUCCGCGUCAAAAUCAGCCAAUUCAUGUUAAUCGUGUCAACAGUUGAAGAACAUUAACUAUUUGAAGACCUACUCCAAUAAAAAUAGUGUUUUUAACAUGUUGUAGCUUUUUUCUCAUGACGUAUAGGACAUAUUUGAUUUUUCUGAGUAUUUCUUUAUUCAAAUCGUGGUGAAUCAGGAGCAGAUGAAAAUAAAAGCUCCCAUUUGUGAUGCAGCAACUGAGAUGGGCGAGCCAAAGUCUCCCUACUCAUUGUCCUCGUCUGAGCUGGAAUCUGGCUGUGCAGCAGGAGAGCUGCUCCAUAUUUUUGUUGUGCUGCUAAUGUUGGGGUUGUGAGGGGAUAGAAGCUAGUGGGAGAGCAUGUAAACAACAGGAUGAUGGGAAAUCAGCAGAAGCUAACUUCUGCUCCAACCGUCCUGCCCUCAACUCUGAAACGAAUUUCUAAUGAACUUCUGCAGAAAAUAUGUCCUAGAAAACGGCACAGGUAUUUGAAUUUUGACAAAAAAUGCUUCAUCCUAAUUAAGAGACCACAAGGAACGCUUUAAAAAUAGAUCAAAAGAUGAUCAGAGUGGAACUUUAAAGUGUCGCCGGCUGUUGUUGAGGGAUUGAACAGAGAAUUAUGGCAUCCCUAGUAACUUUACCUUUGGUUUUUGACGUAUCUGUUCCAUUUUCUUACAUGUCUAUUUGAUUGAAUGGAUGUAAAAGAAGUUGCUCUUCAGGUUACAGCUCACACCUUUUACAUUAGUCACCGUUUACAUUGUCAGGUUUGUUUUCUGUCAUUUUCACGAGUGAACAAAAUCGAAACUGACAUUUGACUCAAACUGAGACAUCUUGAAAAUGUUAACUAAUUUGUCUCUCGUGUGAAACAGGUUGAUCUUGACUUCACAGUGAAUGAUGAAGGUUAUAUAAUUUUUCCAAAAGGGAAAGGAAACCGAAUAAAAAUUCUUAAAAGAGCAAAAUCUGUGAGUGGUCAAUAAAAAUUGGAGAUUGUCGCACUCCCUGACCCUCUUAUCCAACAUCCAUGAUAUGUUCUCUAACGCAGAGUCCUGUUCAUUAAAGCAUAUUACCAUGACGCCAUCCCUCUGAUAAUUGGCCCACAACACGUUUAGAGUCAUGACCCACUAUGGAGACAAUCAAAAAGGGCUUGCCCAGGAGAAAUGCUUCCUUUCCUUGAAGAAACAUCCCAAUUCUUGUUAUUUCGCCGAGAUUCUCUAACAAUCCCCUAUGAAUGAGAGGAUCUGUUUGCUCACACUCCCUCGCAGAGAGGUCAGAGGUCAAGCUCAGCCCCCAGAGCAAGCGCCAAGAUGGAGAAGAUUGAAUAUCAAGGUGCUAAUUGUCCCAAAGACUGUGAAAAUCACUUUUCACAAUAAAUCUCUUUCCCCAAAUACCUGCAGAACAUCACUAAUAAAACAGCCUGAGCGUUCACAUUCUUUUUGCUGCCCCUCAAUCUCGUGUCAUGAAGUCAAGAGAGAUGGGUUUGGAUGAAAUGUUUCCAAACCGAUUCAGCAAAGGAAAUGUUUGAGAAAAACGUUUUACAGGAAAAGCACCAGUUUACUAAAACAGCCAUCGGUUCAGCUGUCUUCAUUUGGAAACUUCCAUUGAUUGGCAUGUUGUUAACUACCUUGGAAACAAACUCAGACCUUAGAAAUGCCUGGAAUGAUUUGCACGUAAUAUAUGAAGCAAUUUAAGUCAUGCAACAUAAGAGGAAGCCAUAAACUGAGACCGAGUUAAAAGCAGCUUGGCAAUAAACAUUUGUUUUAAAUGUCAUGGCAAGCUAGGCGAGGCAGACCCAGGCGCUGGAACCCAGAAGGAAAACACAAGGUGAAGACGUUGGUGUGCCACGUGUUCCUCCAUCUGGUAUGAGUCCUCUGACACGCCUUCACUUCAUGUCUUCCUCAACAUAAAGAUUACCAACGGCGAAUACCUGUGCCAACAUUUUAAAGAUUCCUCUUUUGGACUCCUAUAGAGCCUGUAAAGCCAACAUGGACUUUGGAAUCAAUCAAGAAUUCCCCUGGCUUUGGGUGCUUUUAGACAAAUGAAUUUUUUUUUGUAAAAGUUAAUGUUGCCACACCCAGUUAUAUUUCAGGGCUACUAUAUUUGUUAUACUUUCUGUUACACUUUGAAAAACUGCAACAUUUUUUAUAUAAUACUUUCUGUAAUAAAAAAUACUGGACUACAGA